GCAGUGCAUCAGGCAAGAGGUUCUAAUCAUGAGUCGGAUAAUCUCACUUCCCAUCACUCCAUGAUGGGUCCCCC
rnacentral:rRNA from 1 species